CAUAGGUAGGUUGGAGCAGCAUUAUGUAGGGAGUUAGAAGCAAGUACCAGAAUCUUAAAUUAAGCCCUAUAUUUAACUGGAAGCCAAUGUAGGGACUGACAGAGGGGGGGGGGGAGGCAUGGGAGGUGCGGGCGAACAGGAAAAUGAGCCAUGCCGCUGCAUUCAUAAUAGAUUGCAGCGGUGCAAUCAGGCCCGGACUGGCCAUC